rnacentral:ribozyme from 1 species
UGCCCAGCAACUCCUAUCCCUACCUCCUCGCGGUACUGGCCGGGGUACGAGUAACCUUAGGGAAGAUCGGGUAACCAACCCAGUGGGAACUUUGGUCGAAUGCUGACAGGGAAGG